rnacentral:rRNA from 1 species
UAUAGAGGCCCCAAGCGUUACUGAGAAUCACUGGGUUUAAAGGGUGCGUAGGUGGCGCGUUAAGUCCGUUGUGAAAUCCCUUGGCUCAACCAAGGAAAUGCUUCGGAUACUGGCGUGCUUGAGGCUAGUAUGGGUCACUGGAACUGACGGUGGAGCGGUGAAAUGCGUAGAUAUCGUCAGGAACGCCAAUGGUGAAGACAGGUGACUGGGCUAGUUCUGACACUGAGGCACGAAAGCGUGGGGAGCGAACGGG